rnacentral:lncRNA from 1 species
AACACUUAAAGCUAUUCUCAAAUCUUUUUUUAGUCUGCACUGACACUUUGCUAUAAGCCACCUGUGAAAUGAUUAAUUUGCUUGUUUUCCUUUUGUGUUGUGCCCUGUGAGGCGAGGCACUGGGUCAGGCAGGACCUUCAGGUGGAAGUGGAGAGGUUGUGCCUGGAGGGGACCGGAGGGCAAGGCAAGGCAGCAGGCAGGAAUAGCUGCAGCAAGCAGCCAGGAGCUUGCCCUGCAAACAGACUGCUGAGAAGGCAGUGAGAGACAGAAACCAGACCUUCAUGGGGAGAGAAACAGUCAGCUGGAGUGGGUGCUUUAAAUUUGGGAGUGGAUGGAAACAGCCUGGAAAAAGACUGGCCUUACAGCACCUCUCUUUGCCCUGAGGUGCUCAGCUACCUGGAGAGCCCAGCUCAAUGCACAACUGAGCUCACUCUAAUACCUGGGAGAAAAGAAGGAAUCUCGCUGUAAUUCUUCUCUGCAGCUACACACUUCAGAUGAGAAUACUGUAAGGCAAACAAUAGUAAACAAAUCCCUGCUGCUUUUCAGCAGAAAGGUUUGCAGAACAGUGAGAUCUUCAGAAAAUCUAGAAGAGACUGAUUUUGAAGGAAGAUUUGUGGAUAGGUUUUAUGUAAAGACUGGAUUUAUUUCGACUGAAUUCUACAGUGAAAACAAAGAUCAAUUAAAAGUUUCAUUAUUUUGUGUUUUUGUAAAGCACUCGUUUGUUGACUGAGC